CACGUAGGGGGCAAGCGUUGUCCGGAAUUACUGGGCGUAAAGCGCGCGUAGGCGGCCUAAUAAGUCAGUGGUGAAAACCGGAGGCUCAACCG
rnacentral:rRNA from 1 species